ACUGCUCAGUAACACGUGGACAACCUGCCCCCAGGUUGGGUAUAAACCCGGGAAACUGGGUAUAAUACCCGAUAGGUCUCGAUUGCUGGAAUGCAUCGAGAUUUAAAGCUCCGGCGCCUAAGGAUGGGUCUGCGGCCUAUCAGGUAGUAGUGGGUGUAGCGUACCUACUAGCCUACGACGGGUACGGGUUGUGAGAGCAAGAGCCCGGAGAUGGAUUCUGAGACACGAAUCCAGGCCCUACGGGGUGCAGCAGGCGCGAAAACUUUACAAUGCUGGCAACAGCGAUAAGGGAACCUCGAGUGCCAGGUUACAAAUCUGGCUGUCGAGAUGCCUAAAAAGCAUUUCAUAGCAAGGGCCGGGCAAGACCGGUGCCAGCCGCCGCGGUAACACCGGCGGCUCGAGUGGUAACCGUUAUUAUUGGGUCUAAAGGGUCUGUAGCCGGCCGGAUAAGUCUCUUGAGAAAUCUGGCAGCUUAACUGUCAGGCUUUCAGGAGAUACUGUCUGGCUCGAGGCCGGGAGAGGUGAGAGGUACUUCAGGGGUAGGGGUGAAAUCUUGUAAUCCUUGAAGGACCACCAGUGGCGAAGGCGUCUCACCAGAACGGACCUGACGGCAAGGGACGAAAGCUAGGGGCACGAACCGGAUUAGAUACCCGGGUAGUCCUAGCCGUAAACGAUACUCGCUAGGUGUCGGCCACGGUGCGACCGUUGUCGGUGCCGUAGGGAAGCCGUGAAGCGAGCCACCUGGGAAGUACGGCCGCAAGGCUGAAACUUAAAGGAAUUGGCGGGGGAGCACCACAACGGGUGGAGCUUGCGGUUUAAUUGGAUUCAACGCCGGAAAUCUUACCGGGACCGACAGCAAUAUGAAGGCCAGGCUGAAGACUUUGCCGGAUUAGCUGAGAGGUGGUGCAUGGCCGUCGUCAGUUCGUACUGUGAAGCAUCCUGUUAAGUCAGGCAACGAGCGAGACCCCCACC
rnacentral:rRNA from 1 species